rnacentral:rRNA from 1 species
UACGUAGGGGGCAAGCGUUGUCCGGAUUUAUUGGGCGUAAAGAGCGUGUAGGCGGCCUGACAGGUCUGCUGUGAAAACUCGAGGCUCAACCUCGAGAUGUCGGCGGAAACCGUCUGGCUAGAGUCCGAAAGAGGAGAGUGGAAUUCCCGGUGUAGCGGUGAAAUGCGCAGAUAUCGGGAGGAACACCAAUGGCGAAGGCGGUUCUCUGGGCAUUACCUGACGCUGAGGAGCGAAAGUGUGGGGAGCGAACAGG